GCUUGUGGUUUUAGUAUUAUUCAACUAGGAAAGUUUUCGCUAAAAUGGGAUUUCGAAAAUACAGCUGAACGGAUUAAUCCUGCGGUAAAAUGGGCUCUAAUGUCUGCGCUAAAAUGUUCCCUAGUAGUUUUUCUCUAAAAGUAUCUGCGCCCAUCUGUUUUCUUGUUCAUAGUUAAAAUUAAAUUUCCUUUUGUUUAUGAAAUUGGCAAAUU
rnacentral:lncRNA from 1 species